rnacentral:rRNA from 1 species
UACGUAGGUGGCAAGCGUUGUCCGGAAUUAUUGGGCGUAAAGCGCGCGUAGGCGGUUUCUUAAGUCUGAUGUGAAAGCCCACGGCUCAACCGUGGAGGGUCAUUGAAAACUGGGAAACUUGAGUGCAGAAGAGGAAAGUGGAAUUCCAUGUGUAGCGGUGAAAUGCGCAGAGAUAUGGAGGAACACCAGUGGCGAAGGCGACUUUCUGGUCUGUAACUGACGCUGAUGUGCGAAAGCGUGGGGAUCAAGCAGGAUUAGAAACCCCAGUAGUCC